ACGAAGGUGGCAAGCGUUACUCGGAAUUACUAGGCGUAAAGCGCAGGUAGGCGGUUCGGAAAGUCUUUUGUGAAAGCUCCCGGCUUAACUGGGAGAGGCCAAGGGAUACUCCCGGACUUGAGUGUGGUAGAGGAUGCUGGAAUUCCCGGUGUGGCGGUGACUGGCGUAGAGAUGGGGAGGAGGAGCAAUGGCGAGAGCAGGAAUCUGGACCAUAACUGACGCUAAGCUGCUUAAGCUAGUGGAGCGAGGAG
rnacentral:rRNA from 1 species